rnacentral:rRNA from 1 species
UCUUAGUAAUUAAUAACUCCUAUUAAUUUAUUUAUAUGGUGGCACAAAAUCGGAAGCCCCGACUGUUUACUAAAAACACAACUAUCUGCAAUUAUGAAAAUAAUAGUAUAGGUAGUGAGAUUUGCCCAAUGCCAUAUUAAUAAGUAAUAAUAAUAAGUAACUGUUUCUUUACAAAAAAUUGGUUAAUAGCGGUCUUAACUAUGAGGAUCCUAAGGUAGCAAAAUAAAUUGGCCAUUAAAUGUGGUCCAGUAUCAAUAAUUUAACGAUGGCUUCACUGUCUCUACAACAUGCUCAGUGAAAU